AGAGGUGGGGAGUUCUGAGUUGAGUGAGUUGUGAUACUUCCCGGAACCCCUUUUAUUUCAUUUGUGAAAGGGUCCGAUGGAUACUCGCUAUACCCACAUCAGAAGGCAUAAGAGUGCCUAGCUCAGCUAUUUCUCCUCUCUUUUAUCCUCAGCCAGCCCCUAGUCCUUUCCCCUUCUCUCUUACCAAAUCCCUCCACUCUACAAGUAAUCUCCGCCCAUCCUCCCAACUACCCCAGUAAUUUCUCUUGGUGGUAAAUGCUUUCUUCUUUAUGGUAUAGCUAUUUGGCUUGGUCCUAUAUCUCUUCUAUAGAUUGGGAGGUCCUUGAGAGCAAAAUCCAAUUCAGAUUUAUUUUUGUAUUUCUUCUGGCUUCUGCAUGGUCAAAACUCAAUAGCACCUGAAGUUACACUAAGACGUUGGAGUUGAAAGACAUUAGCAAACAGAGAGAUACCAGGGUUCAUCAUGGGCAGCAAUGACUACGAUGGACAAGAAGAUAGAGGCCCUAACCCUAAUUUUCGGAGCACCAUGGAAGCCCCCUGGAUUCUAGGGAGACCUUGAGGAGAAAGAAGACUCCUGUAAAUGCCUGACAUUGAAAUUCUUGCAAGUCUAGGAGCCUGUGAACUCAAAAUGGAAAUUAAUUUGAUUUAAUGAAAAUAAAGAAGGAGAAUUGUUUUGGCAUA